UACAGAGGUCUCAAGCGUUGUUCGGAUUCAUUGGGCGUAAAGGGUGCGUAGGCGGCGCGGUAAGUCGGGUGUGAAAUCUCGGAGCUUAACUCCGAAACUGCAUUCGAUACUGCCGUGCUUGAGGACUGGAGAGGAGACUGGAAUUUACGGUGUAGCGGUGAAAUGCGUAGAUAUCGGGAGGAACACCGGUGGCGAAGGCGGGUCUCUGGGCAUUUCCUGACGCUGAGGCGCGAAAGCGUGGGGAGCAAACGGG
rnacentral:rRNA from 1 species